rnacentral:rRNA from 1 species
GACGAACGCUGGCGGCGUGCUUAACACAUGCAAGUCGAACGGAAAGGCCUCUUUCGGGGGGUACUCGAGUGGCGAACGGGUGAGUAACACGUGAGUAACCUGCCCUUUACUUUGGGAUAACUUCAGGAAACUGGGGCUAAUACCGGAUAGGAGCUCCUGCUGCAUGGUGGGGGUUGGAAAGUUUCGGCGGUUGGGGAUGGGCUCGCGGCUUAUCAGCUUGUCGGUGGGGUCGUGGCUUACCAAGGCUUUGACGGGUAGCCGGCCUGAGAGGGUGACCGGCCACAUUGGGACUGAGAUACGGCCCAGACUCCUACGGGAGGCAGCAGUGGGGAAUAUUGCACAAUGGGUGGAAGCCUGAUGCAGCAACGCCGUGUGCGGGAUGACGGCCUUCGGGUUGGAAACCGCUUUCGCUCAUGACGAAGCUUUGUGUGACGGUAGUGGGUAAAGAAGCACCGGCUAACUACGUG